AGGCCCAUAGCUCCGUGCUAGAGCCUCUGCUUUGCAUGCAGAAGGUCCCAGGUUCAAUCCCAGCCUAGACUGGGCUGG